rnacentral:lncRNA from 1 species
UACUAGUGUAAGUGUGAAUGACUACUCCGGUGUGUCAAGUAGACUGAAGUGUCAAGCGAGGCGAGUCACGUAAGGGCCUAAGCAGAUAAGGCCCUUCCUCUAGCAGUCAGUCUGAUGGCGAAAGGCUAAGUAAUGAAGUAUGCCAAAUCAAAUAUAUACCCGUGCGCCAUACUCCAUAAUAAGUGUCAUACGUGCUAACGACUCCGGUGCUCUCUCUCCUAC